UGGGGAAUAUUGCACAAUGGGCGAAAGCCUGAUGCAGCGACGCCGCGUGAGGGAUGACGGCCUUCGGGUUGUAAACCUCUUUCAGUAGGGGCGAAGCGCAAGUGACGGUACCUGCAGAAGAAGCACCGGCUAACUACGUGCCAGCAGCCGCGGUAAUACGUAGGGUGCGAGCGUUGUCCGGAAUUACUGGGCGUAAAGAGCUCGUAGGCGGUUUGUCACGUCGUCUGUGAAAUCCUAGGGCUUAACCCUGGACGUGCAGGCGAUACGGGCUGACUUGAGUACUACAGGGGAGACUGGAAUUUCUGGUGUAGCGGUGGAAUGCACAGAUAUCAGGAAGAACACCGAUGGCGAAGGCAGGUCUCUGGGUAGUAACUGACGCUGAGGAGCGAAAGCAUGGGUAGCGAACAGG
rnacentral:rRNA from 1 species